AUGCACAGCUCGCUCGCUCGGCAGGUGGGCCCGCCGAUCCGGCCUGGCUGCGCGGACCAGAGCCGCCGCCGCGGUCCAUCCGGUUCGGUCCGGUGCCGCGCCGAGGCCGCGCCGCCGGUGUCCGUCGUUAGGACGGGGCCGUACACCGGGAGGGACCCGGAGGUGAAGAAGCCGGCGUGGCUGAGGCAGAGGGCGGCGCACGGGGAGAAGUACGCGCGGAUGCGGGAGUCGCUCGGCGAGCUCAAGCUCAACACCGUCUGCGUCGAGGCCCAGUGCCCCAACAUCGGCGAGUGCUGGAACGGAGGGGGAGGGGCCGGCGGGGAAGGCGACGGAAUUGCCACGGCGACCAUCAUGGUGCUCGGCGAUACCUGCACUCGCGGCUGCCGAUUCUGUGCCGUGAAGACCAGCAACAAGCCUCCGCCGCCGGAUCCCAUGGAACCUCUGAACACAGCCUUGGCCGUUGCAAGUUGGGGAGUAGACUAUGUUGUGCUGACAAGUGUUGAUAGAGAUGACUUGCCUGAUGGGGGGAGUGGCCAUUUUGCUCAGACAGUGAGAGCUUUGAAGGAGCUAAAACCGGGGAUAUUGGUGGAAUGCUUAACUUCGGACUUUCGAGGUGAUCUGGAGGCUGUUUCCUCUUUGGCCGAUUCUAAUCUAGAUGUCUUUGCGCACAACAUUGAAACUGUGAGGAGUCUGCAGAGAAUUGUGAGGGAUCCUCGAGCAGGAUUAACUGACCUGUUAGAUUAUCACUCAUCAACAAUUCCGGAACAGCUAAAAUAUGAGCAGAGCUUAGCUGUUCUAAAGCAUGCAAAAAUUUGCAAAGAGGGGAUGAUAACCAAGUCUUCUAUCAUGCUUGGUCUUGGGGAAACUGACGAGGAGGUGAAACAAGCCAUGAUUGACUUGAGGGCAGUUGGUGUUGAUAUUCUCACAUUGGGCCAAUAUUUACAGCCAACAGAAAAACAUUUGACGGUAAGAGAGUAUGUGACGCCUGAGAAGUUCCAGUUUUGGAAGGAGUAUGGAGAAUCGUUGGGUUUUUGUUAUGUUGCUAGUGGACCUCUGGUCCGGUCUUCAUACCGUGCAGGAGAGCUCUUUGUCGAGAAUUUGGUCAGAAAUAAGAAGACUAAGCCUGCAUCUGCCUCCUCUUAA
rnacentral:rRNA from 1 species